UCAGGCCUAUGGGUGCAGGCUUUGGGCCUACGUGCACAGGCCUGGCCAGGGGGAGGUUUGGGGUGGCUGGGUCAUCCUGUGCCUUCCCCCUUCUCCCUUUGCCCAGCUCCUUACCGGGCAUUUGAGUGGUGUUGGCUGGUGCUGUUGCCUUGGCUGGCGCCUCCCCCCCUCUAAAAAAUGAAACAAAACAAAAACAAAACAAAUUUCGGGAGGUCAGACGAAAACGGAUCAGGGCCUCGACGAAAGCCAGGAUAGAAAACAGAACAAAUUAAGUCCUGAAAGCACAUCUCUAUUGUUUAGUUAGUUUUUUUUUCGUUUCCACACAAUCCUUGUGGCACGAGGACACACGUUCUGCUCUACUUCUGGAUAAACAUAUCCAACUCCCUUCAAGCACAGCUUCCAGAUCUUUUGCCACUUUGGUCGCCCUCCUUUGGACACCUUCCAGCUUGUCAAUAUUCUUCUUGAAUUGUGGUGCCCAGAACUGGACAGCAUAUUCUAGAACAGAUGACAGAAGACUCCCCUCCAGCAAUGAAGCCAAGCAAACUACAGAUGGAGGAGCAGUAGACAGAAAGCUCAGUUCUUUCCCAAGCAGGUUGCUGCAUUUCCAUGCUGGGAAAAAGAGAAAUAAUUUCCCCAGUACCAAGCAUGUCUCCUCUGUCCCAGCACAGGAAUGGAAUUAGUCUGCUGGAAGGAACAGAUUGAUUUCUUCUUCCUCCAAUUGAGCCAAUGCAUCUUGGCUAGAGAUGUAAAUCUUUGCUUAUCCCAUUAUUUUCAGCUGGAAUGAAUAUUUUAAAAAUUAUUUCCCCAUUAGAUAAUGCUAUAGGAGUUUUUGUCACAUUCUCAGUGCCUUUACAUAUUGUAAUUAUGUGCAAAAACUCCUACAAUUGUGCAGAAAAUGGUAUUUUGUGUCAAAUGCCCCGAUUCCUGUGUUUUUCACUAUUUUCCCUCAAAUAGUUGGACUGGAUGGCUCUUGUGAUCUCUUCCAACAUCUAUGAUUCUAUAAAAUAAAUAUUUCACAAAAUUUCCUGAAA